AGGGCACCACCAGGAGUGGAGCCUGCGGCUUAAUUUGACUCAACACGGGAAAACUCACCCGGCCCGGACACUAGAAGGAUUGACAGAUUGAGAGCUCUUUCUUGAUUUAGUGGGUGGUGGUGCAUGGCCGUUCUUAGUUGGUGGAGUGAUUUGUCUGGUUAAUUCCGAUAACGAACGAGACUCUAGCCUACUUAAUAGCUCGACGCUUCCUUAUGGCGGUGUCGAACUUCUUAGAGGGAUAAUCUGCGACUCAGCAGAAUGAGAUAGAGCAAUAACAGGUCUGUGAUGCCCUUAGAUGUCCGGGGCCGCACGCGCGCUACACUGAAGAGGUCAACUAGCAUAUGUUCCUGCUCCGCUAGGAGUGGGUAACCCAUUGAACCUUCUUCGUGAUAGGGAUUGGUCUUUGUAAUUAUAGACCAUGAACGAGGAAUUCCCAGUAAGUGCGAGUCAUCGGCUUGCGUUGAUUACGUCCCUGCCCUUUGUACACACCGCCCGUCGCUACUACCGAUUGAAUGAUUU
rnacentral:rRNA from 1 species